CCUACGGGAGGCAGCAGUGAGGAAUAUUGGUCAAUGGGCGCGAGCCUGAACCAGCCACGUAGCGUGAAGGAUGACUGCCCUACGGGUUGUAAACUUCUUUUAUAAAGGAAUAAAGUGAGGCACGUGUGCAUUUUUGUAUGUCCUUUAUGAAUAAGGAACGGCUAACUCCGUGCCAGCAGCAGCGGUAAUACGUAGGAUCCGAGCGUUAUCCGUAUUUAUUGGGUUUAAAGGGAGCGUAGAUGGGUUGUUAAGUCAGUUGUGAAAGUUUGCGGCUCAACCGUAAAAUUGCAAUUGAUACUGGCAGCCUUGAGUACAGUUGAGGUAGGCGGAAUUCGUGGUGUAGCGGUGAAAUGCUUAGAUAUCACGAAGAACUCCUAUUGCGAAGGCAGCUUACUAAACUGCCACUGACAUUGAUGCUCGAAAGUGUGGGUAUCAAACAGGAUUAGAUACCCGAGUAGUC
rnacentral:rRNA from 1 species